ACCCGAUUAACUCAGUUGGUUCAGAGUGACUGCCCUACAAGCAGUAAGUCAAUGGUUCAAAUCCAUUAUUGGGUA
rnacentral:tRNA from 1 species